rnacentral:rRNA from 1 species
AUUGAACGCUGGCGGCAUGCCUUACACAUGCAAGUCGAACGGCAGCACGGGAGCAAUCCUGGUGGCGAGUGGCGAACGGGUGAGUAAUGUAUCGGAACGUACCUUUCAGUGGGGGAUAACGUAGCGAAAGUUACGCUAAUACCGCAUAUUCUGUGAGCAGGAAAGCAGGGGAUCGCAAGACCUUGCGCUGAUUGAGCGGCCGAUAUCAGAUUAGCUAGUUGGUGAGGUAAAGGCUCACCAAGGCGACGAUCUGUAGCGGGUCUGAGAGGAUGAUCCGCCACACUGGAACUGAGACACGGUCCAGACUCCUACGGGAGGCAGCAGUGGGGAAUUUUGGACAAUGGGCGCAAGCCAGAUCCAGCCAUGCCGCGUGAGUGAAGAAGGCCUC